GAUGAACGCUGGCGGCGUGCCUAAUACAUGCAAGUCGAGCGAACGGACGAGAAGCUUGCUUUUCUGAUGUUAGCGGCGGACGGGUGAGUAACACGUGGAUAACCUACCUAUAAGACUGGGAUAACUUCGGGAAACCGGAGCUAAUACCGGAUAAUAUUUUGAACCGCAUGGUUCAAAAGUGAAAGACGGUCUUGCUGUCACUUAUAGAUGGAUCCGCGCUGCAUUAGCUAGUUGGUAAGGUAACGGCUUACCAAGGCAACGAUGCAUAGCCGACCUGAGAGGGUGAUCGGCCACACUGGAACUGAGACACGGUCCAGACUCCUACGGGAGGCAGCAGUGGGGAAUAUUGGACAAUGGGCGAAAGCCUGAUCCAGCCAUGCCGCGUGUGUGAAGAAGGUCUUCGGAUUGUAAAGCACUUUAAGUUGGGAGGAAGGGCAGUAAGUUAAUACCUUGCUGUUUUGACGUUACCAACAGAAUAAGCACCGGCUAACUUCGUG
rnacentral:rRNA from 1 species